rnacentral:rRNA from 1 species
UACGUAGGGUGCGAGCGUUGUCCGGAAUUAUUGGGCGUAAAGGGCUCGUAGGCGGUCUGUCGCGUCGAAAGUGAAAACUCAGGGCUUAACCCUGAGCCUGCUUCCGAUACGGGCAGACUAGAGGUAUGCAGGGGAGAACGGAAUUCCUGGUGUAGCGGUGAAAUGCGCAGAUAUCAGGAGGAACACCGGUGGCGAAGGCGGUUCUCUGGGCAGUAACUGACGCUGAGGAGCGAAAGCGUGGGGAGCGAACAGG